GUCCAUGGUCAGCUGGCUUCAAGACAGAAACCAUCAUGGUGGAAGGGUAUGGCGGAACAAAGCUGCUCAGUUCAUGGCAGCUGGGGAACAGUGCCAGAGAGGAAGAGGCCAGGGAGUAUAUACACAAGAGAGCCAGUCUACUGAUGCCUCCCACCCAGGGCACAAAAGGUUGCUGGGCUGAAUAAAAUAAUCAGCAGGAGCGAUGCAGCCCAAGAGGACUCAGGCUUGAUGAGAUCGAUUAGAUGUCUGCAGCAGCUGCAACAUUGUAGUAGGCUUUGGGAAAUAGAUAAAUCCCAGCUCUUCCCUCUUGGAGCUGACAUCUUAGCAGGAAAAACAAGCACUGGACGGAAG
rnacentral:lncRNA from 1 species